ensembl:lncRNA
GAAAAAGAGGAGCAACAAUAGGGAUUUUGUGUUUUAGUGGUAGCAAACAUAUGUAAAUGUAAUUUUUCUGUAUAUGAUAAAAGAACUACCUAGCACAGUUAUUUCUCUUGAAGGCAACAGUGUUUGUGCAUGCUGUUUAUGGAAAACAUACUCUGACCUGCUGACAGCUGAUUUGGUCCAGUGGAGCAUAUGCUAGAGGGUACAGCACCAGUCAGACGCAAAAUGAACUUCAGAGAACAGUGCUACAGAAGUGUAAGCUCAAAUAUGUACUGCUUUCAGAUGGAGCAGGAGGAAGGCAAACAGAUCUGCAUCCCAAAUGACUCUACUCCCCAUGGUAUAGAUUAAGAUGGAGUGACUUGAUUAUUCCCUGUGCCUAUUACUGGCUUUUUUCUUCACUAUGAGAGCAACUGUUCAAAAAGUAUUCUAGUGCAAGCUAGAGGAAGGAUUGGAAUAACUAUCAGAAUUGCAGUCAGUCUUUUUUUUUAGUGGGUAUAAAAAUGUGUGGAAUGAGGUGACCACUUGGUGGCAAAGCUGAAUGGCAAAUAAAAUGCGGUUCUGCUUUUUCAGUAAUGCUUUUAUUUGACUGGCAUCUAUGGGAGAUUUGAGGUAAACUGUCAGCUUUAUAAAGACAUGCUGACUUCUGCCUGCAAGGCUGUAUUUCAGUAAUUGCACUAACUUCCAACAAUCAUUAUGCUACUUGUGGUGAUUCAACCUUGUUUGGUCUGUUGAAGACAAGAGGUAGUGAAUCAAACAGCUUUGCUUUCAUUAUGAAGUUAUAUUUGGUAAGUUGGGGCAAUGUGAGUGAAUGUAUCUUCUAGAGUCUCUUCAGCUGAUUUAGAGACAACACUACCUGAAAGCUUCAAUAGCAAGCUAAAGGACUUGCAUAUAUAGUUCAGUAAUAUGUCUCUCACUAAUACAGGUUUUGUGUUGUCCUCAUGUCAAAUGCACUUUAUAUUGUGAUGAGACAAGGCAAAAUAUAUUUAAGAAAACCAAACAAACAUCAACAACACCUUGAGAGCAAUAAAAAACUAAAGUAAAUGUGCUAGCUAACUUCUCUUUCUAGGUGUUGUUACCCAAAAAAAAGGGGAAUUCAAAUUAUUUUUAACGUUUUAUAGAGAGAUAUGACAUCAUUUAUUAAAUCACCUCGAUAUAUUUUGCAGGGCAGGCAGCAAGCAGAUGCAUCUGCAUGAGCCUUUUCCUCAGGUGGUGCCUGGCUGUCACUGGAAAUUUUUCAGCAUGGUAACCACUAGGUAUGCUGUCAGGAAGCUGAUGUCAUUUCCUCUCAUCAUGGCAUCAGAAAAAAAUUAUAGGUUGCUUUGAAAAUAAUGCCUCUUAUUUAUUUCUGUGAAUCUACAACAGCUACAAAGGGCACAAUAAUACUAUUUGAUAGAGCAAAUUCUCAGCUACCAAACACUGUUUUUCAGCCUAGUCACAACCAACCAUUAGCUAUGUAUUUUCACCAGCCAUGAACAAGAACAGCAGGCCACUCUCAUAAAAAUCUGCAACAGUGGAGGUGACCUACUGUCAUUGCUGCUGAAAUGCAUCAGCUCACUGUGCUCACAUCCACUACUUGGUCUCCAUCAAUGUUCAGUAAGCAUCAAUAAAUGUCAG